UUCAGAGCAGUGCUUAUAACAGAGUCCAGUAUGCCGGUUCCAUCCGGAUGCUUUAAUCUUUCCAGUCAUAAGUAUUCCAGUUGCUCUGAACCGACACAUCGUGUAGUUUACCGGGCAAGUCUUCCAUUCCAUAAUCUAAAGAACCGUGACUAAGUUUCCGGGUAGAAGUAAGCUAACGACGAUAAGAUUCCCGAUCUCCCUCUCACUUGAAGGACCAUUAUACGGAUUGAAGUUGUUCUUGAGGUCAAUAGACCCGAAUCUUCCUUCUCAGAACGUGCUGCCUUUGCCGAUACCUGCU